rnacentral:tRNA from 1 species
GCCGAUGUAGCUCAGUUGGCCAGAGCUACUGAUUUGUAAUCAGUGGGUCGGGGGUUCGAAUCCCUCCAUCGGCUCAA